AGCUCUCAAAAUGCAUAGAAUUAUUGCUGCGGUUAAAAAGCUCGUAGUUGGAUCUGUGCUGGGAACUGGGUCCGCCUUCGGGUGUGCACUCAGCUUCCCGGCUUUUUGCUGGUUUUCCCGUUGUGGCCUUUACCGGUUGCAGCGGGUGGCUGGCGAGUUUACCUUGAAGAAAUCAAAGUGCUUAAUACAGGCGAUUUGCUUGAAUGUGGUGCAUGGAAUAAUAGAAAAGGAUUUCGGUUCUCUUUUAUUGGUUUUACGAGCUGAGAUAAUGGUUAACAGAGACAAACGGGGGCAUUCGUAUCGUUGCGUGAGAGGUGAAAUUCUUGGACCGCAGCGAGACGAACUACAGCGAAAGCAUUUGCCAAGAAUGUCUUCA
rnacentral:rRNA from 1 species